AGGGUGAUGCCUGCCCAAUGGUUGUAUCUAAAAGCGGUUGAUAAAAGUCGACCUCGUAAGGACAAUUGAAUGGCCGCGGUAACACUGACCGUGAUAAUGUAGCGUAAUCAAUAGCCAAUUAAUUGUUGGCCAGUAUGAAUGGCGCCACGAAGGCCCCACUGUCUUAAGGAAAUUCCCAGUGAAAUUGAAUUCGUAGUGAAGAUGCUACGUGCAAUUUGUUAGACGAAAAGACCCCGUUGAGCUUUACUGGAGCACUUACAUGGCCCUGGCCUUCCCAUGCUUGGGAAUCGGCCGAAUUUAAAUGGGCGGCUUAGAUUAUGUGGCAGCCCCCCGCUGGGGCAGAUGAAACCCCACUCCCCCAUGUCAAAGGGGCUAACCCCCCCCCUUGGGGGGACAGUGUAAGUAGGACAGUUUGGUUGGGGCGACCGCCUUUUAAAGAGUAACGAAGGUGCGCUUAAGGUGCGCAAUUAAUGACUGAAGCCUGACUGCGAGGGGGACACCCCGAGCAGACACCCCAAAGCCCGCCCGAAGGG
rnacentral:rRNA from 1 species